CAACAGACAGUGAGAAGACACGAGAGAACAGGCCAUUAUUCAACAGACAGAUGAGAAGACACGAGAGAACAGGCCAUUAUUCAACAGACAGGAGAAGACACGAGAGAACAGGCCAUUAUUCAACAGAGAAGACACGAGAGAACAGGCCAUUAUUCAACAGACAGGAGAAGACACGAGAGAACAGGCCAUUAUCCAACAGACAGUAGAAGACACGAGAGAACAGGCCAUUAUUCAACAGACAGUAGAAGACACGAGAGAACAGGCCAUUAUUCAACAGACAGUAGAAGACACGAGAGAACAGGCCAUUAUCCAACAGACAGUAGAAGACACGAGAGAACAGGCCAUUAUUCAACAGACAGUAGAAGACACGAGAGAACAGGCCAUUAUCCAACAGACAGUAGAAGACACGAGAGAACAGGCCAUUAUCCAACAGACAGUAGAAGACACGAGAGAACAGGCCAUUAUUCAACAGACAGUAGAAGACACGAGAGAACAGGCCAUUAUCCAACAGACAGUAGAAGACACGAGAGAACAGGCCAUUAUUCAACAGACAGUAGAAGACACGAGAGAACAGGCCAUUAUUCAACAGACAGAUGAGAAGACACGAGAGAACAGGCCAUUAUCCAACAGACAGAUGAGAAGACACGAGAGAACAGGCCAUUAAGCAAAACCACGAAGGCUAUAAAAAAAAUAGGUGUUCAGUGAGUCACUGGGUUUUGGUGCAGAAAUAACCGUCUCAGGCGGAGAUGAUGUGAGAGUCCCGCUGGUCCACGACACUGGAGAGGGUAUCAGAACAGCUGUGUGUGAAUCAGAGCACAUGUGCACACACACACACACACACACACAAAGUACAUGCACACACUACGACUGAAACAGCAUGCUAAUUACUGAGGCAGAUUUGACAUGUCACCUUUGUUGCUGGUUUAGUUGUUAUUUUGCUGAGGAUUUAACACUGACUAGAAUGUUCUCUCUCUUCACAGUGAGCACAGCUCCAGCACCCAAACCAACGGUGAAGAUGUCUAAGAACAAGAAGAAGAAGAUGAAGAAGAAACAGAAGAAGCAGGCAGAGAUGUUAGAGAAGAGGAUUCAGGAGAUGGAGGGAGCGCCGGAAGGAGUAGAGGAAGAGGAGGAGGGGGAGGAAGAGACCACUGCAGACACUUCCGCUCCUCGUCUGACACGCUACAGGACACGGCUAAUGAUUUCACAGCAGGUCCAGAUAAACCGGAAGAGAAGCAGGAGGAGGAGGAGAGCAGGAUGGAGAAGCAGGAGGAGGAGGAGAGCAGGAUGGAGGUGACCUGCAACGGCCACGCAGAGGAAGACACUGCAAGCCAGGAGGUACAAAGGACUGAGGAAGAAGAGGAGAAAGACGAAGAGGACCAACAGAAAGCCAACAAACUCAACG